rnacentral:rRNA from 1 species
CCUACGUGUGGCUGCAGUGGGGAAUAUUGGACAAUGGGCGAAAGCCUGAUCCAGCCAUGCCGCGUGUGUGAAGAAGGCCUUCGGGUUGUAAAGCACUUUCAGUGGGGAAGAAAGCCUUGGGGCUAAUACCCUCGAGGAAGGACAUCACCCACAGAAGAAGCACCGGCGAACUCCGUGCCAGCAGCCGCGGUAAUACGGAGGGUGCGAGCGUUAAUCGGAAUUACUGGGCGUAACGCGCGCGUAGGCGGUCUGAUAAGCCGGUUGUGAAAGCCCCGGGCUCAACCUGGGAACGGCAUCCGGAACUGUCAGGCUAGAGUGCAGGAGAGGAAGGUAGAAUUCCCGGUGUAGCGGUGAAAUGCGUAGAGAUCGGGAGGAAUACCAGUGGCGAAGGCGGCCUUCUGGACUGACACUGACGCUGAGGUGCGAAAGCGUGGGUAGCAAACAGGAUUAGAUACCCGAGUAGUC